GGGCUACACACGUGCUACAAUGGCGGUGAUAGUGGGAAGCUAGGUGGUGACACCAUGGUGAUCUCUAAAAGCCGUCUCAGUUCGGAUUGCACUCUGCAACUCGAGUGCAUGAAGGUGGAAUCGCUAGUAAUCGCGGAUCAGCAUGCCGCGGUGAA
rnacentral:rRNA from 1 species